AUGACCUUCAUCAUCAUCUUCAUCUGGACUCUCACAGCGUUUGCUCAAGGACAGAUCAUCAUCACUCAGAGUCCAUCAAUGACAGCAGCUCAACCAGGAGAAACAGUCAAAAUCAACUGCAAAACCAGCAGAGAAGUGAUCAAGCAUAGUGGGCGUGAUGGUUUAUCCUGGUACUUACAGAAACCUGGAGAAGCUCCUAAACUCCUGAUUUAUUUUGCAAGCACACUCCAGUCAGGGAGUCCAUCUAGAUUCAGUGGCAGUGGAUCUGGGACUGAUUUCACUCUGACCAUCAGUGGAGUCCAGACUGAAGAUGCUGCACAUUAUUACUGUAUGAGUGACCAUGGUAGUUAUGUGUUGACACAGUGA